rnacentral:lncRNA from 13 species
GGAUGGAUUCUUCCAUGUGGGGCAUCUCUGGGUGGAUGGAUUCUUCCAUGUGGGGCAUCUCUGGGUGGAUGGAUUCUUCCAUGUGGGACAUCUCUUGGCUGAUGGAUUCUUCCAUCUGGGACAUCUCUUGGCUGAUGGAUUCUUCCAUCUGGGACAUCUCUUGGCUGAUGGAUUCUUCCAUGUGGGACAUCUCUGGGCGGAUGGAUUCUUCCAUGUGGGACAUCUCUGGGCGGAUGAAGGCUUCCCAUUGGGACAUACUUUUGUAUCCGUUGGCAUUCCCUUGGCACCGUUCUUGGUGUCUCUUGGCUUUUCCUUGGCACGGCUCUUGCUCGAUGAAGUUUUCCGUGUGGGACAUGUCCUGAUCCAUGAAAUCUUUGCUUUGGGACAUCUCAUGGUUGAUAAAUUCCUCCAUUUGGGACAUCUCCUGCUUGAUGAAGGCUUCCCAUUGGGACACACUUUUGUAUCCAUUGCCUUCCCCCUGGCACAGCUCUGGAUCUCUUUCAACUUCCCAUUGGCGCUGCUUCGGGGAUAUCUCGGCUUUCCCUUGGUCCGUGUGGUGUUCCCAAUGGGACAUCUCGUGGCUGAUGAAGUCUUCCCACUGGGACAGGUCUUUGUAUCCGCUGGAUUCCCCUUGGCACCGCUCUUGGGAGCCAUCAGCUUCCCCUUGGCACCGCUCUUGGGAUCCACUGGCUUCCCCUUGGCACCGCUCUUGGCUGAUGAAUUCUUCCCAUCGGGACAGAUCCUCGUCUCCGUCGCCUUGCCCCUGGCACAGUUCGGGUCUCUCCUGGCUUUCCCCUGGGACACCUCUUGGUUGAUGAAUUCCUCCAUUUGGGACAUCUCUUGGCUGAUUAGGUCCAACCAUCGGGACAGAUCCUUGUAUCCACGGGUGUGCCCCCGGCUCAGCCCUUGGGAUCUCUUUCCAUGCCCUUGGGAUCUCUUUCCGUGCCCUUGGGGUACCUGUGGAUCUCGGCCGUGUCCCCCUUGGCACAGCCCUCGGGGACUUCCCGAGGCUUCCCACUCCUCCUGCUCCAUGGCCAACGUCCCCUGUCCCUCCCGGGAUCAGAGCAGCCUCUGGACCGGCUGGGAGCUGGGAUUCACCUUCUCCAGGGGCAUCUCCAGAGGGAUCCCGGGAGCUGCUGCUCCUGAGGGAGGGGCUCUACUGGGAAUGGCCCUGAACCCUUCGGGGUCGCGCCGGGAUCCGGGCACGGCGCAGCUCCCGCGUCACAAAGGGACGCCCCAAGCGCGGGGCCUUCUGGAACCAUCUGGAACCUUCUGGAGCUGCAGCCCCGGGGAGUGGCCAAUGGGUUUGACCCCACUGCCGACCCCGCUGCGGUUGUGGGGUGUUGAGGGUCCGCCUCUUCCCUGUGGGAUUCCUGCCGGGAAAGGCCACGGCGCCUUUAAAGCAUCUCCAAGCUGCAUCUGGCAGCCCCGGUGCUGGAACGCUGCCCCGCAGCCAUGGCGCUGCUCCAGGAAAUUCCUGACAUCCCGGCAAGUGCUGAGGCAGCCCGAAUCGGGGGCUGGGUGUGCUUUGGCCCCGGGAAACCGGGAACGGGGCCAGGAGCGGGGCCGGGAUUUCUGCAAACCUCGAAAGUGCCCGUCCCGUGGGGCUGAGUCACGGCCGCCCCUCCUGGGCCCUCUCCAGAGCCUCGACAGAAGGCAGGAGCUGCCUGAGCCCCGAACAAAAGCCUUCCCAGCAUCCAGCCCUUGGAAUCGGGCAGGGAAUGCUCCGUCCUCUGUGCCAGGCGGGCCCCGCGCCAGCCACGCUGUCCCCGCUGUGCCCUGCUGCCAGCCUGGGAUGGCAAAGGAGCACCCCCGGGUGAUGCAGAUCCAAAGGAUCCCGGGGUGCCACGGAGCCGGGGGACCCUGUCCCACUCCUUCCUCAGCCCAGCGGGGCUCUGGGACACCCCCAGAGGGAGCAGGGAUGGGGACAAGGGACAGGGAUGGGACCGGCGCCAGCUCCGCUCCGCGCGGGCAGGAAAUCCCAAUAAAAGAAGGAAAAAGUCGAGCCGGGAAAGUUCUUCUGGGGCGGAAAACGAGCGCGUGUGAGACCCCGCGCAGGGUGGGGGGAGAGGCAGGACCCAGACCCCUUCCCCGGCACCCAGACCCGCACCCCCGGCCCCCACCCGGGGCACUCCCGAGGGGUCGGGGCCGGGGGCCGCUCCUCGCCGCGGGGUUCGGCCCCGCUCCGCCCGCAGCGGACUCCGGGACCUCCCGGGUCCCCGGGCUCGGCCGGCGAUGCCGCCGCUGCGGCGGGAGGAGCCCCCCUAGACCCCCGGGCCCCUCCCCGACGUGGUGAUGGCACAGUGGGGACACCGCGGGGGGCUGGGGACAGCGGGGAUACACUGAGGGGACAGCGGGACACGGUGAUGGGACAGCGCUGGGGACACGCUGGGGACACGGGGCAGGGCCCGCAGGUGAGCAGGCGGGACCGAUGUGCCCCGUUCGAGGGGUCCGGUGACACGGGGAGCGGGACGGGGCCGCUGAACGG